GACGAACGCUGGCGGCGUGCCUAAUACAUGCAAGUCGAACGAACUCUGGUAUUGAUUGGUGCUUGCAUCAUGAUUUACAUUUGAGUGAGUGGCGAACUGGUGAGUAACACGUGGGAAACCUGCCCAGAAGCGGGGGAUAACACCUGGAAACAGAUGCUAAUACCGCAUAACAACUUGGACCGCAUGGUCCGAGUUUGAAAGAUGGCUUCGGCUAUCACUUUUGGAUGGUCCCGCGGCGUAUUAGCUAGAUGGUGGGGUAACGGCUCACCAUGGCAAUGAUACGUAGCCGACCUGAGAGGGUAAUCGGCCACAUUGGGACUGAGACACGGCCCAAACUCCUACGGGAGGCAGCAGUAGGGAAUCUUCCACAAUGGACGAAAGUCUGACGGAGCAACGCCGCGUGAGUGAAGAAGGGUUUCGGCUCGUAAAACUCUGUUGUUAAAGAAGAACAUAUCUGAGAGUAACUGUUCAGGUAUUGACGGUAUUUAACCAGAAAGCCACGGCUAACUACGUGCCAGCAGCCGCGGUAAUACGUAGGUGGCAAGCGUUGUCCGGAUUUAUUGGGCGUAAAGCGAGCGCAGGCGGUUUUUUAAGUCUGAUGUGAAAGCCUUCGGCUCAACCGAAGAAGUGCAUCGGAAACUGGGAAACUUGAGUGCAGAAGAGGACAGUGGAACUCCAUGUGUAGCGGUGAAAUGCGUAGAUAUAUGGAAGAACACCAGUGGCGAAGGCGGCUGUCUGGUCUGUAACUGACGCUGAGGCUCGAAAGUAUGGGUAGCAAACAGGAUUAGAUACCCUGGUAGUCCAUACCGUAAACGAUGAAUGCUAAGUGUUGGAGGGUUUCCGCCCUUCAGUGCUGCAGCUAACGCAUUAAGCAUUCCGCCUGGGGAGUACGGCCGCAAGGCUGAAACUCAAAGGAAUUGACGGGGGCCCGCACAAGCGGUGGAGCAUGUGGUUUAAUUCGAAGCUACGCGAAGAACCUUACCAGGUCUUGGCAUACUAUGCAAAUCUAAGAGAUUAGACGUUCCCUUCGGGGACAUGGAUACAGGUGGUGCAUGGUUGUCGUCAGCUCGUGUCGUGAGAUGUUGGGUUAAGUCCCGCAACGAGCGCAACCCUUAUUAUCAGUUGCCAGCAUUAAGUUGGGCACUCUGGUGAGACUGCCGGUGACAAACCGGAGGAAGGUGGGGAUGACGUCAAAUCAUCAUGCCCCUUAUGACCUGGGCUACACACGUGCUACAAUGGAUGGUACAACGAGUUGCGAACUCGCGAGAGUAAGCUAAUCUCUUAAAGCCAUUCUCAGUUCGGAUUGUAGGCUGCAACUCGCCUACAUGAAGUCGGAAUCGCUAGUAAUCGCGGAUCAGCAUGCCGCGGUGAAUACGUUCCCGGGCCUUGUACACACCGCCCGUCACACCAUGAGAGUUUGUAACACCCAAAGUCGGUGGGGUAACCUUUUAGGAACCAGCCGCCUAAGGUGGGACAGAUGAUUAGGGUG
rnacentral:rRNA from 1 species